rnacentral:rRNA from 1 species
GUCUUGCAUUAAACUAUAGAGACCGCUGUUUCUUCUUUAAACCAGAGGAAGGAUACGGCAAUAACAGGUCUGUGAUGCCCUCAGAUGUUCCGGGCUGCACACGUGCUACAAUGAUCAUUGCACUGUGCAUCUAACCCAAUGUGCGCGGACGCCGCCGUGCGUAUAUACUUUAUUGUGUAUGCGUAUCGUGCGUGCGACCGCGCCGAACCUGCUUCGAAAGUAAACAUUUCCAGCGGGUAAUCCAUUAGAAGUAAUGACUCGCAUAGACCAUGGCACACUAUAUGUACCCGCGGGUUCUACCCGGCUCGCCUUUGUGUGAGUGCAGUGCGUAGCUCGUUGUUUGGUACGUGCCACUCCGUAUUAAUUCAUACGUGGGGAUAGAUCAUUGUUUAAUUGUUGGUCUCGGUCUUAACUAGGAAUGCCUUGUACGGGUCUUUGGUUCAACAUACCACCCGGAAUACGUCCCUGCCCUUUGUACACACCGCCCGUCGCUCUUACCGAUGGAUUAUACUAUGAAUCUAUAGGACUGCCAAAGUUGCUCUUCGCGGCGCGCUUAGUGGAAAUAUAUAUGAAUAGUGGAUCUAA